GAGCGAGGGACUGGCUGCCAGGGACUGGGGAUCACCUCGGUCCCUUCUCCCCCAGAGCUUCUGCUGCCCAGGCCCCUGUCAGGGGUAGCUCUCCCCUCUCUACCCUCAGGGGUGGUGGAGUGGCCAGAAGCGCAGGUGCCUCUGGCUGAGGCAGGGGGGCUGCGUUCGUAGGGAGCUGGGAAGGACAGUCUGUUCUCCCAGAUCCCACAGUCCCUGGCAUCCUUUUCCUCCCCACCAGCCCUCAGCCCUGCAUAGUUUGGAGCGACCUUUCCUUUAUCUCAGGCCCCCUCCUUGGCCUUGCCAGAGGGGUCGGGCUCCUGUUUUCCCCAGAGGCACUGAGCGAGGUCUUGUUCCCCAGCUGCGUGGUGGCGAGAGAAGCCCUGGCCCUCCGGCUGGCUCAGGGUUGGACUGGGCUUGCUCUGCCUGCUGCCCCAGGGCUGCAGGGAGCCAAGUCAUGGAGAAGCCUGCCUGGGGCAGAGCUGGGGC